UUUUCACAGAAAAUAAAAAUUGUGAACAGAGAGUAGACGCGUCAAAAAUUUUUGGAACUAGUAAUUUACUAAGUGAUAUCCUAUUAAUCUAAAUACAAAUGAGUAAUGGUGGAAGUGCUGGGGGACUGGGUGGAACACGUCCUCCACCACGCAUCGAUGGCAUGGUAUCGCUGAAGGUCGACAAUCUCACAUAUCGCACCACUCCAGAGGACUUGCGUCGUGUCUUUGAGCGUUGCGGAGAAGUGGGUGAUAUUUACAUCCCGCGGGACCGCUACACACGUGAGAGCCGUGGCUUUGCUUUUGUGCGCUUCUAUGACAAACGUGAUGCUGAAGACGCACUUGAGGCCAUGGAUGGUCGCAUGUUAGAUGGCAGGGAGCUCCGUGUCCAGAUGGCUCGUUAUGGCCGUCCCUCGUCGCCCACACGCAGCAACGGGCGUCGUGGUGGAGGAUCUGGUGGUGGUGGUGGUGGCGGCGGAGGAGCUGGUGGUGGAGGUGCAGGCGGUCGUCGUCGCUCACGUUCCCGUUCACCGAUGCGCCGCCGUUCGCGUAGUCCUCGUCGUCGCUCCUACUCGCCGCGCUCGCGCUCUCAGUCGGCUGGCAGCCAUUCACCGGAGCGUCGCACCAAGUUCUCGCGCAGUCCAGUGCGUGGCGAGAGUCGCAACGGGAUCGGAGCAUCCGCCUUGGCUGUGGGAGCCUCACGUAGUCGCAGUCGCUCUUAAUAUUCACGUUCCAAUUGGAGCGAGCUUUGCAGUUUUUACUCGCCUGACAAGAGAGAUCCCGAUUCAUGGAUCUUGCUCCACAUCCUGUCAUGCUGUACCAGAACAGCAGGCAAAUUGGUGUGUGGCAGUGUUGCGGUUGAGAAUAAUGUUAUGGUUAUUGCGAGGGAGGAGAGGAGGAGGAGGAGAUCUAUCAGAUCAGAUCGGUGAUCGGAUUAUCGGAGUUCGGAUCCGAUCAGCACGAGGCAUCAGAGCAUCUUCUUCUUCCCCCCGUCCAGCGCUAGCAGAGAGACAACACGACACGACACGAGAGCGGACAUCGCGUAGCUGUUGUUGCUGUGUUGCCGUUGGCGUUUCCUGUCAGCCGCUGUCGCCGCCACCACCGCGCCGCUGCUACUGCUACCGCUGCUGCUGUUUGCCGUUUGCCGUUGCUGCUGCCGUGCUGCACACUCUCGAUCAGAGUGGGAGA